AAAAAGCGCCGGCUAACUAUGUCCCAGCAGCCGCGGUAACACGUAGGGCGCAAGCGUUAUCCGGAAUUAUUGGGCGUAAAGAGCUCGUAGGCGGUUUGUCGCGUCUGCUGUGAAAUCCCGAGCCUCAACCUCGGGCAUGCAGUCGGUACGGGCAGACUAGAGUGCGGUAGGGGAGAUUGGAAUUCCUGGUGUGGCGGUGGAAUGCGCAGAUAUCAGGAGGAACACCGAUGGCGAAGGCAGAUCUCUGGGCCGUAACUGACGCUGAGGAGCGAAAGGGUGGGGAGCAAACAGCGCUUAGAUACCCUGGUAGUCCUCCCCGUAAACGUUGGGAAGCUAGUUGUGGGGUCCAUUCCACGGAUUCCGUGACGCAGCUAACGCAUUAAGUUCCCCGCCUGGGGAGUACGGCCGCAAGGCUACAACUCAAAGGAAUUGACGGGGACCCGCACAAGCGGCGGAGCAUGCGGAUUAAUUCGAUGCAACGCGAAGAACCUUACCAAGGCUUGACAUAUACGAGAACGGGCCAGAAAUGGUCAACUCUUUGGACACUCGUAAACAGGUGGUGCAUGGUUGUCGUCAGCUCGUGUCGUGAGAUGUUGGGUUAAGUCCCGCAACGAGCGCAACCCUCGUUCUAUGUUGCCAGCACGUAAUGGUGGGAACUCAUGGGAUACUGCCGGGGUCAACUCGGAGGAAGGUGGGGAUGACGUCAAAUCAUCAUGCCCCUUAUGUCUUGGGCUUCACGCAUGCUACAAUGGCCGGUACAAAGGGCUGCAAUACCGUGAGGUGGAGCGAAUCCCAAAAAGCCGGUCCCAGUUCGGAUUGAGGUCUGCAACUCGACCUCAUGAAGUCGGAGUCGCUAGUAAUUGCAGAUCAGCAACGAUGCGGUGAAUACGUUCCCGGGUCUUGUACACACCGCCCGUCACGUCAUGAAAGUCGGUAACACCUGAAGCCGGUGGCCUAACCCUUGUGGAGGGAGCCGUCGAAGGUGGGAUCGGUAAUUAGGAC
rnacentral:rRNA from 1 species